UAAUGGGCGGCGUGCCUAUACAUGCAAGUCGAGCGGACAGAUGGGAGCUUGCUCCCUGAAGUCAGCGGCGGACGGGUGAGUAACACGUGGGCAACCUGCCUGUAAGACUGGGAUAACUCCGGGAAACCGGGGCUAAUACCGGAUAAUUCUUUCCCUCACAUGAGGGAAAGCUGAAAGAUGGUUUCGGCUAUCACUUACAGAUGGGCCCGCGGCGCAUUAGCUAGUUGGUGAGGUAACGGCUCACCAAGGCAACGAUGCGUAGCCGACCUGAGAGGGUGAUCGGCCACACUGGGACUGAGACACGGCCCAGACUCCUACGGGAGGCAGCAGUAGGGAAUCUUCCGCAAUGGACGAAAGUCUGACGGAGCAACGCCGCGUGAGUGAUGAAGGUUUUCGGAUCGUAAAACUCUGUUGUUAGGGAAGAACAAGUACCGGAGUAACUGCCGGUACCUUGACGGUACCUAACCAGAAAGCCACGGCUAACUACGUGCCAGCAGCCGCGGUAAUACGUAGGUGGCAAGCGUUGUCCGGAAUUAUUGGGCGUAAAGCGCGCGCAGGCGGUUCCUUAAGUCUGAUGUGAAAGCCCCCGGCUCAACCGGGGAGGGUC
rnacentral:rRNA from 1 species